rnacentral:tRNA from 1 species
AGGGAGGUAGCUCAACGUAGAGCAGCGGUCUUCAAAAUCGUCGGUUGCGGGUUCAAAUCCUGUCCUCCUUG